rnacentral:rRNA from 1 species
CAGCAGUCGCCACGGGAAUACGGAGGGUGCAAGCGUUAAUCGGAAUUACUGGGCGUAAAGCGCACGCAGGCGGUCUGACAAGUCAGAUGUGAAAUCCCCGGGCUUAACCUGGGAACUGCAUUUGAAACUGUCAGGCUGGAGUCUUGUAGAGGGGGGUGGAAUUCCAGGUGUAGCGGUGAAAUGCGUAGAGAUCUGGAGGAAUACCGGUGGCGAAGGCGGCCCCCUGGACAAAGACUGACGCUCAGGUGCGAAAGCGUGGGGAGCAAACAGGAUUAGAUACCCCUGUAGUCCCUGUCUAUUAUAC